rnacentral:rRNA from 1 species
CGGGAUGAGCUCAAAUUUAAAAUCUGGCGUCUUUCAGGCGUCCGAGUUGUAAUCUAUAGAGGCGUUUUCCGCGCCGGACCGCGUCCAAGUCUCUUGGAAUAGAGUAUCAAAGAGGGUGACAAUCCCGUACUUGACGCGACAACCGGUGCUCUGUGAUACGUUCUCAAUGAGUCGAGUUGUUUGGGAAUGCAGCUCUAAAUGGGUGGUAAAUUCCAUCUAAGGCUAAAUAUUGGCGAGAGACCGAUAGCGAACAAGUACCGUGAGGGAAAGAUGAAAAGCACUUUGGAAAGAGAGUUAAACAGCACGUGAAAUUGUUAAAAGGGAAACGAUUGAAGUCAGUCGUGUGAAAGGUAUUCAGCCGUCUCUGGCGGUGUAUUUGCCUUUCACGGGUCAACAUCAGUUUGAUCCGGUAGAAAAAGGCGGGAGGAAGGUGGCACCCUCGGGUGUGUUAUAGCCUCCUGUCAUAUGUGCCGGACCAGACUGAGGAACGCAGCUUGCCGCAAGGCCGGGGUUCGCCCACGUACAAGCUUAGGAUGUUGACAUAAUGGCUUUAAACGACCCGUCUUGA